UCCAGAUCCGGGGUCAGCAACCUGCAGCGGGGGGCAGCCGCCUGCUUUUGUGAACGCAGCUUAUUGAAACACACCCAUGCCCAUUUGUUCACAGAUGUUCCGUGGCUGCGUGUGCCCUACAGCAGCACGGUUCAGUAGGCAGAGGCCACUUCUACUACCCGGCUAAGGAAAAGAUGGGCAGAGCCUGCUCUGGAUGACGCUGUGUUCCAGCCGGCGGAGAGGGUCCCCCAUUUCCUCGGAACUAAUCCUCCAGGAAAUUAACAGACAGUUUGCUGUGGACAACUAGAGCCCUCCCCUUCCUUAGCCCUGAGCGAGGUAAACAAUUCUGCUCUGCCUUCCGGAAGUUUCAAAUUAGCUCUUCAACCAGCGUUUUCACGCAGCUUCCAGUCCUGCCACAGUCUUGAAGAAGAGAUCAGCUUUCCCGUCUUCAUUCUUGCCAAGAUUAGCUGCCCUUCGAAUCUCCCGUGUGUCAUUAAUCCCAGCACGAACAAGCACUUGGGAACUGCGGGCUGCAGAUGGUCUGCUUAUCCUACGGAACCCUCCUCUUUUGAGGCUUAACCCCUUUAGUCUUUGUUGCUUCUGUAGCUUUCUGAUGCCAUUAAAG
rnacentral:lncRNA from 1 species